GCAGAUUAGUUUACAAUUAAAGAAUAGUAUCUUUCUAUUUGGUAGUAUGGACGGAGCUGAUGGAUCCGAGAAGCCCGCCGGUGAAGAGAGUGGACGCAUUGGAUCUGAGCAGCCCGCCGGUGACGAGAAUCAAAGCAUCACCAUUUCCCUUGAUCACUACAACCGCAUGAUGGAAGUUAUUGGGAGGAUCGACCAUUUGAUGACCACAAUUGAGAUGCAUGGCAGACUAAUUUCGUUGAUCCGGCGACAACGUUCGGUACUGGUUUCGCGCCUAGGCGGUGCAUGGCUUGGGGCGUGACGGGCCACAAUAGGAGUACAUGUGGACGUGCUUCUCGUUAGAAGACUUGGCGUCAUGAAGAUAGGACAGUCUAGUUAAAAUAAUAGUUAAAGUAAUAGGUUUUAUUUCAUUCAUUUUAAAUUGCAGUAGUGAAGAUGUAUUUCCCUUGAGCAUUGUCAAUGUAUUUCCAUGAUGGAUGAAUAUAAUAAAAUGUUCUGUCA